CUUCAGUGUUUGUAGCCAAAUUGAUUCACUAAUUUAUGCUUCUGCACUUUGAAUUUUGCUAUAUUUUAGUUUCUUUUUGCAGAGUUGUAGCUCAAAGAAAUGAUUUUGUUGGUUAAUUGAUUUUUCAUGGAGCUUGCAAUCCCCUGUUCCAUACACACAUACGUACACACAUGCAUACCUUUUGAAUUUCAUAAUCAAGCAAGCACAAAGGAAAACUCAGAAAACAGAGAAAAGAAAAUGAGAGGGAGAGACAGAGAGGACAUCAGAAUUGCCUUGUAUAUACAGCCUUAACUACUUUAGUGAUUCCUGUCUCACUUACAUCAUGGGUGGGUGGGUCUGCAACCAUAACCACCCAUGAGUUUGGCUUUAAGAAGCUAAAAACAAGCAAUAGGCAAAGCUUUUGUAAGAAUUUCAGCAACAUGAUGAAUUACGAUCCGUUUGCUAAUAACCUUCUCUCAAAUGAAGUGAUAAUCCACUUUUGUGUGCUAUGUUUGCACAUGAAAAAUAAGAUUUGAAGCCAAAGAAAUGACUGAUUGAUUAUCACGUUGUAUAGCAUGUGGAGGAACAAUGGGAAUAAUUACCGGGCACAACUCUAGGGUGGUCCCAAGGGAUCGAGCGCGUCAUGAGAUUCGAGUUAAUGACCUACACUUUCUAAAGCACUUAUCAUGACUCAAUAGCAUUUCUGAGUGUUUCUUCCAUUUUACAUGCAUUUUUUUGAAUACCAUUAACCCCCCUUCUUUUUGGUGCUGCUAGGCAGGUAUAAGAAAUUACUUGUUCGAGAAUGUUAGAUAUCUCGGAUCCCCUCUAUUUCUGGAUAUAAAUUGCUUGUGUCACUCUGCUGAUUAGGAGUACCAUAUCUUUUGAUGAACUGUUGUAUCAAAUAUCAUGCAAUGAGAUAUUUUGGGCCACCUAUAACCUUCAGACCACUUUAAUUGUUGGAGAAUUUCAUCUUUUUAGGUUGUUACAUGGACUGAGUUCUUUAUUCAUUUGUUUAUUCCUGAAGGUAUUCGAUCACAAGAGCCUUUUGCAUUGCCUUUGUGAUGACAUUCUUCAGCAUAUUUGAUGUGCCUGUGUUUUGGCCAAUACUCCUUUUCUACUUUGUGAUGCUGUUCACACUUACCAUGAAGCGACAGAUACUACAUAUGAUUAAGUACAGAUACGUUCCAUUCUCCGUUGGGAAGCAGCGAUAUGAUGUAAAAGACGAGGAUUCAGCUGAAAGCACAAGUCUGCUACCUAGAGAUUGAAAAUUCAGCUAGAGCUUUUUGAGGAUGCGAUGGUAAUACAAAUUGUCCCAACAACUCGGUGUCUGCACCUUCGUUGACAGUCCUCUCUGAAUUUUCUCCAAGCUAGCCCCCGAGCAUUAAAAAAGAUGUUGCUUAUUUACACUUAUUUUUUUUUUCUUGAUAAAACUGUCCUUCCAGGAAUAUGCUACACUCCUAUCUCUGAAAUGUUGUUCGGAAAACUUGAACUUUCCAGAGCAUUUGUAACUUAGUAAGGAAAACUGGAGAAGUUAGGCUAGCAGGGAAACAAAAAACUUAACUUGCGAUGUAUUUGUAUUUUGGACAAAGAAGCAAGCCAUUUUUUUGGGUUGUGCAUUUCUAAUCCUUUUUAACAUUCAAUCAAUCUAGUUUCGUUGUUAGCUGUUUAUUUA